rnacentral:rRNA from 1 species
AGUGAACGCUGGCGGUAGGCCUAACACAUGCAAGUCGAACGGCAGCACAGUAAGAGCUUGCUCUUACGGGUGGCGAGUGGCGGACGGGUGAGGAAUACAUCGGAAUCUACUUUUUCGUGGGGGAUAACGUAGGGAAACUUACGCUAAUACCGCAUACUACCUACGGGUGAAAGCAGGGGAUCUUCGGACCUUGCGCUAUUGAAUGAGCCGAUGUCGGAUUAGCUAGUUGGCGGGGUAAAGGCCCACCAAGGCGACGAUCCGUAGCUGGUCUGAGAGGAUGAUCAGCCACACUGGAACUGAGACACGGUCCAGACUCCUACGGGAGGCAGCAGUGGGGAAUAUUGGACAAUGGGCGCAAGCCUGAUCCAGCCAUACCGCGUGGGUGAAGAAGGCCUUCGGGUUGUAAAGCCCUUUUGUUGGGAAAGAAAAGCAGCAGGUUAAUACCCCGCUGUUCUGACGGUACCCAAAGAAUAAGCACCGGCUAACUUCGUG